GGACUAACAGGUUGGUCGCGCCUUUGGUGUGUACUGGUCUAGUUGGUUUCUCCCUUCUGACGAACCACGAUGUCAUUAAUUUGGUGUCGCGGGGAAUCAGGACUGUUACUUUGAAAAAAUUAGAGUGUUCAAAGCAGGCACAUGCCUGAAUACAUUAGCAUGGAAUAACAAAGUAGGACG
rnacentral:rRNA from 1 species